UACGGGGGGGGCAAGCGUUGUUCGGAAUUACUGGGCGUAAAGGGUGCGUAGGCGGCGCGGUAAGUCAACGGUGAAAGCUCGGGGCUCAACCCCGAGUCUGCCAUGCGAACUGGUGGACUUGAGCACUGUAGAGGCAGGUGGAAUUCCGGGUGUAGCGGUGGAAUGCGUAGAGAUCCGGAAGAACACCGGUGGCGAAGGCGGCCUGCUGGGCAGUUGCUGACGCUGAGGCGCGACAGCGUGGGGAGCAAACAGG
rnacentral:rRNA from 1 species